GUUCUUCUGUUGACCAGCAGAACGCAAACCUGAUCAAAGGCUACCGGAAGCCUUAAGUAGACCAAAAUGGGGGCUCAAAUAUGCUAAUGGAUGAGCUAAAUAUACUUUAAUCCUGUUAUAAUACAAGAGUGUCAACAGUUGGGUGAGCAAGCCUCCUCAGUGCUUAGAUCAGUAUCCUGUGACCUUCCACAUUGAAGUGCGCCAUUCAGCCAAGCCUUCCAGCUGUUGCCUGAAUGGUGCUAUGCAGGCAUUUCUUCCUGUGGCAGCCGCAUGAUGGUCUGUCCCCAGUGUCUCCGGAGAUGCUCUAGAGAGGGACCUGACCAAGAUUUUGCCCUGCUGUGCCCUGUCACCUGCUUUGGGUCUUCAGUCUUGCCUCCUAACCUCAGAGAAAGGGCCAGCGAGGGCAAAGCUCAGCCCUGCCACAUCUUAGGUUCCAGAAAGUUCACAAGGCUGCAACCCCAUUGCUCAAAUCACUAACCUCAGACUCCCUCCGAAGUCCCAGCAAGCAUCCAGGAACACUGCUGUUUAAGAAGCUGACAGUGUGUGCGCCCCCACCCCCAAUUUUAUAUGUAGCAGAUGGUGUUCAAACAAGUUAAGGAGCAGAAGCUGCAAAGGGCUUAAAAGAAAAAAAAAAGACAGUGAAACUCAUAUAUUUCUUCAAACGAUAAGAUGAACUGCAGAUGUCUGAAGACUGGUGAUGGUGCUGCCUGCGACUCCAGCUCCACUUAAAAGAAGAGUCCGCUUAUGUUUAGCGUUGGACAAGCCCGGUAGCUGUCACGGCAUGAUUUACGGAGGUUGAUGAGCCUGGAAUCCAUGAACCCUGCUUCCCACUCAGGAUGAGAUGGAAUCACAGAUAGCAUGGAGAAGCAGUAAGGAGAGACCCUGCCUUGAAAACAAAGCAGAAGGAAAAGAAAAGCUACCCUUGAAAAGCCAUUAUUUGACUUCCACAUGGAUGCAUGGCAUGUGCCCCGACCCCCCCAUAAAUCAAUAAAAUUGAAGUGUUUAUCUAAUUAUUCUUUAUCAAUAAAAAAUCAGGAGUCACA